AUGGUUAGCUCAAGAACGGUCUCUUUUGUGGCCACCUUCAUGAUCAUUUGUUCCCUCGAGAGCUAUUUACGGAGCACGUGCUAUGUGCCAGGUCUCUGCUCAAGUGCCUCUGACAUCAAAGUGAAGAGAAAACAGACAUGGUCUCACUCCACAAACAAUACAAGCAAAGGUAAGUACUAUAAAAGAGAGAAAACUUGUUCCAUGAGGCCAGACUAUAUAUUUUUUUUUCUUUCUAGAGGAAUGCCUCUUAAGUUCUAUGAAGGAAGAGAAAAAGAUACGUCAUGUAAUGCCAAUAAAUUCAUUUGGUUCAUUUAUCAAAGGCCAGAGGACUAUCUUCAUUGUCAUCUCUUGGGGACCAAACAAAGGCUACUUAUUCUCAGGACUCCAAAAUGAGGCCUCCUUUUUCUAACCGCGGGCUGAAGUGGUUCAUUACUGCUGUUUCCUCCGCCAGGCCAGGGCUCAGCCAUUCCCACUACUGAAGGUCUGUAACUUCCUUAAAAAGGAAGAAGGAAAACAUGGCCCAGAAAGGUCUUGUUAGCACUUCCUAUGUGAAAUUAGCAGCUUUCUAAAAGGUACAACUCCAAUUACCUCACAUUGUGGAGGCGAGUACAAACUCAACAAUACGCACAGCCUAGCAAGUGACAUUCUGUCUUUCUAGAGUUACUUCCCUAAUUAGGAAUGAAGAAGCUCUAUUCUGCUGAGUGCAUCUAUUUACAGUGGCCACAAUGCUUUAACUUGAGCAUCCUUCUCAAAGCCCAGUGUUAAAAAACACAAGUGCUCUUUUCGCCGAGCAGGCUAUGGUGAGGCGACACAUUCCUAACGGUUACGCCCUCGGAAAAAAAAAAAAAAAAAAAAAAGUGUAGCCGCUUUGGCAGGAUUGUUAACACUUCAGGAUUCAUUUUCCACAAUAACGCCCCUGCCCAGAGAGCUCUGGGAAUUACAGUGGACAAUGGGGAGGCAUUCUUAGGAGGGUCUAAUGAUGGAAUAAAAAGAAAAAUAUUUAUUGCUUUUGACA
rnacentral:lncRNA from 12 species